GUCUAGCUAGUUUAAAUAAAAACGUUGGUUUGUGGGACCAGAAAUAUAAUUUUUUUUAUUUUAGACC
rnacentral:tRNA from 1 species